GUAGCCGGCCUGAGAGGGUGUCCGGCCACACUGGGACUGAGAUACGGCCCAGACUCCUACGGGAGGCAGCAGUGGGGAAUAUUGCACAAUGGGCGCAAGCCUGAUGCAGCGACSCCGCGUGGGGGAUGACGGCCUUCGGGUUGUAAACCUCUUUCAGUAGGGACGAAGCGCAAGUGACGGUACCUACAGAAGAAGGACNGGCCAACUACGUGCCAGCAGCCGCGGUAAUACGUAGGGUCCGAGCGUUGUCCGGAAUUACUGGGCGUAAAGAGCUCGUAGGUGGUUUGUCGCGUUGUUCGUGAAAUCUCACAACUCAAUUGUGAGCGUGCGAGCGAUACGGGCAGACUGGAGUACUGCAGGGGAGACUGGAAUWC
rnacentral:rRNA from 1 species